AGGGGAGUGUGCACUUUAUAUUGGUUGUUUUAGUGUUUAGGAAGGCUGUGCAAGUCACAUGCAGAGAUAUGUGACUAGAAUGCAUAAGCAGUGAUUUAACUCCUUACUGGCAGAGAAUUAAGCAGUAAGACUGCAUGGAACAUGACCCAUACAUCUAAACUGCUUAAUUAAAUUAAUGUUGUGGACAAAAAUAUUAACCCAAUCCAUGUUAGUAAAAUGCCUAUUUACUCAGUAUAACUACAAUCAGCAUUAUUCAACUUUCUAUGUGAUUUACCUAAAAUGGCCGCUAGGGAGUUUCUCUUUGACAUCGCCUAAUACCCUCAUUAACAAGAUGGCGCUGGAAUCUGGGGGAGACUUCCAAGACCAGUGACAUCACACCCGGUAGGAAGAGCACUAAAUGAACCACUUAACACCUAACCAAUUAUUGAUGUAUUAUUCCAUGUUAUCUCUGACAAUGCAUAUGAUGUAAUAUUGCUUUAUAAGGG